rnacentral:lncRNA from 1 species
CAAUAUGGGGAAGAAAAAAGGAUCUCUCUGCUGCCGAAAAGAGUGAAAUAGUUCAAUGCCUUGGACCAGGUAUGAAAACAUUAGAUAUUUCACGAAAACUUAAGCGUGAUCAUCAAACUAUUAAGAGAUUUGUGGCUGAUUCAGAGCACAGACGGGUUCAUGCAAUUAAAGGCAUAUUGAGGAAGAUUUCUGCCAGAUCCUUGCAUCGGAUCAAGAGAGCUGCUGCUAAAAUACCAUUACAUAGCAGCAAACAGAUAUUUGAAGCUGCUGGUGCCUCUGGAGUCCCAC